UUUAGACUGGUGACAAAUUAUGACUCAGUGGUUUAUUUUAUUGUUGUAAUUUGUGUUUAAUUAUUGCCACAGACACCUUACAGGCAGAUACUGAAGCAUUUUUACCCUCAAAACAACGUUUUUUAAAAGGAGCCGUUCGAGCCACUAUAAUCAUCCGGCCGCCAUCUUAGGUGCUCUGCCGCCCCCUGCUGGGAGACCCCGUACGUGAACCGAAAAUACGUCACAUCCGGACAGACUGCUCCAUUCAGACGACCAACAUGGCGACUGAAAACUUGAGAAUGAUGUCCAGCAUCGACAUUCAAAGAACCCAGGAGCUGAUGAUGAACCUUCUCCUGCUCAGACCUCCUGACUGACCUGCUGGUUAAAUGGGACUAUGAGAUGAUCUAAGAGGAAGAAGCAGCAUGAAGGCUGUUGAUUCACCUCACAGGUAGUAGACCAGGUCUUCAGUAUUUAUGGAUCCGUUUGAAUCAAAGCUUCAGUUUCACCACGACGACCAGACGGAGAUGCAGAUUUCAUGAUCAGAGAAGGAAACCAUAACAUUCAAUGGGACGGCUGGAUUUAUUUCUACACCACUUUAGGGAUUAAAGAGGACUUUUCAGUGGAUUUUGAGUCAUUUAUGUUUAGUGUCUUCUAACAUAAAGAAAUGAAGGAGAUUAUAAAAAUAAAACUGAUCUAAUGAAGUGUUUACAGGUGGUAGAAGAACCGAGUCCUGCAGUCGUUUAUCAUUAAUUAAACUGAAUUAACUACAGUUCAGUUUGUGUUUAAUUACAUUAGAGUCCAAAGUCUACAGUUUACUAUUAACCCUCCUGUUCUCAUCUACGGGCAUCAAAAAAUGUUGUUUCCUUGUCUGAAAAAUAUCUGCAAAAAAAUUCCCCAAAUUUCUGAAAAUUUUCAAAAACUUCAAGAAGAAAAUUCCAAUAAUUCCUUAGAAGUUUUAUUUUUUUUAAAAAUCCCCCAAAUUUGGCAAGAAAAUUCUUGUAAAUAUUUUCAAAAAAUGAGUAAAAAUCUUCCCAAAAAUCCUAAAAAUAUCUGAAGUGAUUCCAAAUAAAACCUUGAAGGGAAACUUUUAUGGAAUUAUUGGAAUUUUCUUCCUGAAGGUUUUGCAAAUUUUCAGAAAUUUGGGGAAUUUUUUUGCUGAAUUUUUUUCAGACAAGGAAAGUAUUUUUUGGUGCCUGUAAAUGAAGACAACUGGAAGGUUUAGGCUUUAAAUGUCAGAAAAUGGUGAAGAAAAACUGAAAAGUUUCUAAAGUGCAAAUAUUUUGCUUCUCCUGCCAACGUCUGUGUUUUCCUGUCGGUUAACGUAAAAAGACGUUGUUACAGGUGCUGUUUACGUCCGUAUCUGUCCUCUGCUGCUGCGGUUUUGAGGGGAUUUCUUUGGAACAUUGAUCAGUUUUUAGUGGAUUAUUUCUUUAACAUGUAAAACUGAUGACCUUCCACCUGGAGGCGCUGCUGCACCACACUUACUCUGGAAACGUCAUAUUUUUAGCAACACCGGAAGUCACCGAGGAAGAACAGUUUAGAGCUGGUCUGGACCGUGAACACAUCUAGAAUGACUGUCCUCGAGCCCUUUUCCUAUUUAAUUCUCUUUAAGAGUGGAAAACCCACGCAGAAAUCAUGGAGCUCCACGUUGUUCUAUAAUGAGAGUCAGGAGGUUCUGCUGGAGAACAGUUUAAGAAGAUCAAUCAUGUCUGAUGCUGAUUUGGAGAGAGCUGGAAUUUGUUCUGUUAACCACAGAUGUUAUUUUCAGUGCCAUACUUUAUUAACUGUAGAAUGUUAUGUUUCACUUCUGUGUGUUUUACAGUCAGAUCCGACAUGUGGACGACAGUUUAUGACGGAAUACUGGUCAACGCAUUUUUAUGAACGGUGAGAGGAAACGAUGGAAUCCAGAGAUAAAAUUAGAGACCACAGUCUGACUCAUCAUGUCACCGAUCAGUCCGAUAAACAUCUUCACAAGGAUGUAAAAAGGAUUACAAAAAUAUAACAAAAACUACCUGCGUAUUUUAAUCACUCAGACUGCAGUACUGGAAGUAUUCUAGUCUUCCUCUGCCACGUCUCUAAAAGUAUCUUUUUGCCAUUUCUAAACCAGCCAGAGUUUUUGGAAAGACAACUCACACAUAUAUUUGACCAAAUCGGAUCCCUUUACUUCCAUUUUUAUUUAAUAUUGUCAGCAGAUAACAUGCUCUGAAAUGACGGUUAGGACGGAGAACUGAACGUGUUUUAUCGUUUUCUGAGUGACUAGUUUUAACAACAUGGUCUCAGUUUUUUCUGAUGUAUUUUAUCAGAUCCAGCUGAUAUUCUGCUGCGUGUUCUGAUGUAUUUUAUCAGAUCCAGCUGAUGUUCUGCUGCCUGUUGUUCUGAUGUAUUUUAUCAGAUCCAGCUGAUGUUCUACUGCGUGUUCUGAUGUAUUUUAUCAGAUCCAGCUGAUGUUCUGCUGUGUGUUGUUCUGAUGGGAGGCUACUGAGGGUCUGAGUGUGUUUCUGAAAACAAACCCGAGUUAAACCUGAAGUUCUGCUCUGGAUCAGUUCCACUGAACUCAGACUAACACACAGCAGUGGACGUGCUUCUAUGUUGUGGGUUUUCUUGGUGAGACAUUAAUUAGUUUUGUGGCUCGUUAUUAACCAGGCAGCCUGUGUUAAGUUGUGAUUAUCCCCAGUUAACCUGGGCGUGUUUCCUGAACAAUCACCAGGUGUUAAACACCUGACAGGAUGACAAAGAUCUAUGUGGAUGAAGCGGGAUGUUUAUCAGACUCAUGGGUGACAUGAUGAGUCAGACUGUGGUCUCUAAUUUUAUCUCUGGAUUCCAUCGUUUCCUCUCACCAUUCAUAAAAAAUACGUGUUUUUUUUUAUUUUUUAUUGCGACCAGCACAUUUCAUUUUACUGUCUGUAGGUGAUAUUUACAUGGAUAAAGACUUUAUUAAGUAGUGAUGUCCACGUUUUUCGGCAGGUUUUCUUUAUCUAGUAUCUUUAUUUCACACACAUGUGGUCUGGAGGAAUCUGCGACGAAAUAUCUGGAGACGGAAACUAUCAACACUUCACCUGAUUAAACUGGAAUCGCCAGAGUUCUUCACAUUUUAAUACUUAAAAAUACUUACUUGGACUAUUAAAGCGAUUUCGUUCACACUGAGAUCAUGAGCUCUCAGUGUGAUGCGUCUACUUCCUCUAAAUAAGACAAACAAACACGUCUUCGUUGUUUUCACAGUACGUGGUGCAGAGUUUGGGACAGAGAAGUGACGUCAAGUCGCCACGAGUUAUGAGUUUGAUUUCCGGUUCUGCCGGCGGCUUCCAAAUGGGAAAAAGGCUUUUUCUUUUGUUUAAACCUUAAAAUUUGUAAAAACGCAGCGUUUUUUCCUUCUCUACUUUUUGUUUUUCGAAUUUAAUUUUUAAACGAAAAAACAAAAAAAAAAAACUGGUCAAGUAUUUGUUUUUUUCUCAUUUUAUUUUGAAACGGAAAAACGAAUGAGCGAACCAUACACGGCUUUACGCGGAUUUAUCUGGUAAUUGGAUUUUCCGUUCUGAAACGGGUACUGAAAAACAUAAAACGAGUGGUUAUUUGAUUUUCGUUUUAAAAUACAAAAAUUAAAAUUGAAAUACAAGGCAUUUUUCCUUUUCAUGAUCAAAAAGGGAUAUACGAUUUUUUUUUAAAAAAAUGCUUUGAUUUUCGUUUUAUAUUUAGUAUAACAAGAAAGUAAAAUCAGUAAGAGACAGAAACGAAAAAAGGUCCGUUUUUUCAUUUUCUGAGACCGGAAGUGGUCAUCAGCAAGUGUGGAGCCAAACAGAGUACGGUGCAGAGACUGGAUAUAAUUUUUUUCGUUAGUUUUCAUGGUCAGAAUGAGAGAUCAGGUGGCCGAUCUUAAAAUAAAUCAAUAUUGAUUUUUUUAUAGAGCGUUAAAGUUUUGCGAAGCCAGCGGGCGGGACUACUUGAUUGACAGUCUGGUCUGGAAUGAUUGACAGGUCCUAUGGAGGAGGCAGCAGAGACUCUGCUCUCCUCGUUUGGAUUAAUUCUGAUAUAAUAACUGUUGGUUUAUUUAUCGGUGGAGCAGCAGAUCAUUUUCCACAGACAGUUUUCCUGCCCGUUGGCUUGUUUUAACCAGUUUUCUACCUUCGGCUGAUUCUACCAGCAGACACUGAAAGGACUCUGAUAGUUUGAGUGAAAGUAGCAGUUCCUCCUGAAGGUCAGAGAUUGCAGCAUCUGAGGGCCUCUUCAAAAGAAGACGUAGUUGAUGAAGGCGUUCUGGAGCAGGACCAGAAAGACCACGACCAAGCAGCCUUGAGAUCUUAGGCAGCGUCUCCCUCAGGUCCCUCUCUAUCUCCCCACACAUCCACCAACCACUGGAACACAUCUCCAAAGUUCUGCUGGACCAGCUCAGCUUCCCCUCAGAAGAAGUGCUGCCACCUGCCAGAUGAAGGAGCCUUUUGAGAGGCAGCUGGCAUCGUGAUUGGACUGUACUUUGGUCUGUUCCAAUCCAGCUUCAGCUCCAGAGACGGCAGGCGGGACGAGUCAACGGAGGCCGGAUGGACGAAGGCAUGCAGCUGAGUACAAUCCAGAAAACAACAGAGGAGGAGUGCAGCAGCCCAGAGCCAGAACAACCAGAGUAGCAUCACCAAAGAACUACAGACUCUUCACAACCUGCUCAAACUCUUGGUACAGGACCUCACCACACGGGUCAAGAAGGUUUCUGUCUCAUUUCUACUCUGAAGCUCAGCUUCUCCUGCUCAAACUGCUGACAAAUGUUUCUGCUGCUCUAAAGUCUGGUCUCCAGAACUUCCUAAAAACUCUCAAAGUCUCUUCUGCUGCAGGUUGCUUUGGAGAACUGUUGCAGAAAACCUCACUAAACCACAUGGAGGAGCCUCAAGAUAGUCGUCCAAAUGAAACCAUACAAAAACCAAACUAACACAACCCAAACGCUAAAGUCUCCUGCAGCCUACCAGAGAACCUCUGAGAACAGAGAAUCAGGACAGGAACUCUUACCUUCUGGACAACCAACGCUGGUUCUCAAACAAGAAUACAGAAUGUGUCUGACCAAAAACCUCUAAAGACUCACUACAGCCAAGAUAAAGACACAACUCAGCUGCACCAAAUCCACUAAUCACUGCACACAUUAGCACCAUGUGCUAACUGUGGCUGAAGAACCACAUUUACCAAGACAACUAUCCAGUACAAAGCCCUAAAACACACCAAGAAACACAUUAAAGAUGAUUUUACUGCUGGAAGCUGCAAGCCAACGCCUAAAGAACGAACUAAAGCAACGGAACCAAACCCAGUUCAGUGGUGAAGAGAAGCAGAGGAAAUGUUUGUCUGCAGCUAAAUAAAGCAGGAAGACACUGAGCUGCUCAGGUGUUCCUGAUAACACCUAGCAGCCACCUGGACAGCCAAUAGGAACACAGCUUCCUGGAAGUCCAGAGGGCUGGGUUAGUCAAGGAAAUUUAGUUUAAAGUUGAAGCAGAAAGUUAAUAAAGAAAGUUGAAAACCACCUUCUGAUACCUGAAAUCUCUGAGUUUUCACACAAAGAACACCUGAACAUGUCAAACUGGUUCCAUAGUAGAACCAUCAUUGUAAAAACAUCAUAGUAUGGUGUGUUGCUCAAAAAACAUUAGGACCCGGCUGUCUAGGGUCGCAGAGGAGCAACACAAGAACAGGACAAACACUGGUUUCCAGGGGGUUAGGAGGAUAUUUAUUUGAAAGAGUAAGUUUACAACAACACAACAUGUGAGCAGAAAAAUCACAAAGUCUGUCUUUAGUUCAGCUGAAAAUAUUAGUUUUUGUCUUUUUUAUUGACCAAACUUUUCAGGAAGUAGAUGAAGAAUAAUUAAAGCUCUCAUGUAGAAGUCCAACCUAUUUUGGAUCCUUGUGGAGAGUUUAAUCUUAGAGUUUGUAAAGCUGUUGAGUUUUUAGAGUCACAUGGAUUGUUUUGACAUUUAAUAACCGAGUCCUGAAAUAAAAUUACAGUUGUGGAUUUC